GAAGAGAGAAAGCUGCUAAUCCUUGAGGAAACUACAGGGAAAUUCCUAAUAAGGAAGAAGUACGAACUGAAGAAGCGUUAUGGAGAGACCGACAUUGUGGCCUGUAUUCGGGCGAGAAGAUUGAGCUGACUCGGUCACAUCUGCCGUAUGCCAGAGGAGAGGAUGUCCAGGAAAUUAUAUGAGCGAAAUCCGAAGGGGGUUUCCCCGAACGAAAUGGAAAACAUAGUGGACGAUGUCCUCAAAACACUGGGAGUGCUGCGACGCUGGCGGACUAUGGCUUUAGAUCGUGUGGAAUGGCGAGGUGUUGUGCAGAAGACAUUGUCUCUUAAAGGGAUAUAAGUGGCCACUUAACAUUUUUGAUCUGUCCUGAAAAAAUCAGACUAAGUAAUGGAUAACAGCAAUGAAGAUACCAAAACUGAAGGAACUCCCAUGGAUGCCCCUAUAACUCAGCCAACAGACGCACGGAGGAGGAGGAGGAGAAGGAGAUCUUCUAGAAUGCGAUCGAGAUCUCGCAAGUCCACAAGAUCGACAUCCAGAAGGAGAAGACGCUCCCGGAGGAGGGUGAUGCCUUCCGAGAGAAUGUAAAAAAAAACCUCCAGAAAAUUACAAUUUGAUCAUGUCCACACGGAAAACUUUGAUAAUUCAUCUAAAUUCUAAAUUUUGUCUACAAUAAAUUAUAUGUAAAUGGC